GACAGAGAGUGCAAACGUUGUUCGGAAUUACUGGGCGUAAAGCGAGUGUAGGCGGUUCGGUAAGUCGGAUGUGAAAGCCCCGGGCUCAACCCGGGAAGUGCACUCGAUACUGCCGAGCUAGAGUAUCGGAGAGGUUGGUGGAAUUCUCGGUGUAGAGGUGAAAUUCGUAGAUAUCGAGAGGAACACCGGUGGCGAAGGCGGCCAACUGGACGAAUACUGACGCUGAGACUCGAAAGCGUGGGGAGCAAACAGG
rnacentral:rRNA from 1 species